UGAACGCUGGCUGUGUGCCUAAUACAUGCAUGUCGAGCGAAGUUCUUUAGAACUUAGCGGCGAAUGGGUGAGUAACACGUACUUAACAUACCUCUUAGAUUGGGAUAACGGUGAGAAAUUAUCGCUAAUACCGGAUACUUAUAUAAGUCGCAUGACUUAUAUAUAAAAGGAGCCUUAAAGCUUCACUAAGAGAUUGGGGUGCGGAACAUUAGCUAGUUGGUAAGGUAAUGGCUUACCAAGGCAAUGAUGUUUAGCGGGGUUGAGAGACUGAUCCGCCACACUGGGACUGAGAUACGGCCCAGACUCCUACGGGAGGCAGCAGUAGGGAAUUUUCCACAAUGGACGAAAGUCUGAUGGAGCGACACAGCGUGCAGGAUGACGGCCUUCGGGUUGUAAACUGCUGUUAUAAGGGAAGAAAAAGCAUUAGAGGAAAUGGUAGUGCCUUGACGGUACCUUGUCAGAAAGCAACGGCUAACUAUGUGCCAGCAGCCGCGGUAAUACAUAGGUUGCAAGCGUUAUCCGGAAUUAUUGGGCGUAAAGCGUCUGUAGGUUGUAUGUUAAGUCUGGCGUGAAAACUUGGGGCUCAACCCCAAAUUGCGUUGGAUACUGGCAUGCUAGAAUUGUGUAGAGGUUAGCGGAAUUCCUAGUGAAGCGGUGAAAUGCGUAGAUAUUAGGAAGAACACCAAUUUGGCGAAGGCAGCUAACUGGGCACAUAUUGACACUGAGAGACGAAAGCGUGGGGAGCAAGCAGGAUUAGAUACCCUGGUAGUCCACGCUGUAAACGAUGAUGAUUAGCUGAUAGAGAGGUCUAUCGGCGCAGCUAACGCAUUAAAUCAUCCGCCUGAGUAGUAUGCUCGCAAGAGUGAAACUUAAAGGAAUUUGACGGGGAUCCGCACAAGCGGUGGGAGCAUGUGGUUUAAAUUUGAAGAUACGCGUAGAACCCUUUACCCCACCUCUUGACAUCUUCUGCAAAAGCUAUAGAGAAUAUAGGUGG
rnacentral:rRNA from 1 species